UAGCUCAGUCGGUUAGAGCACAGUGCUGAUAACACCAAGGUCAUGGGUUCAAACCCCAU
rnacentral:tRNA from 1 species